AUUGAACGCUGGCGGCAUGCUUUACACAUGCAAGUCGAACGGCAGCGCGGGCUUCUGCCUGGCUGCGAGUGGCGAACGGGUGAGUAAUGCAUCUGAACGUGCCCAGUAGUGGGGGAUAGCCCGGCGAAAGCCGGAUUAAUACCGCAGACGACCUGAGGGUGAAAGCGGGGGACCGAAAGGCCCGGCGGUCGGGGAGCGGCCGACGUCGGAUUAGCUAGCUGGUGGGGUAAGGGCUUACCAAGGCGUCGAUGGGUAGCUGGCCUGAGAGGGUGACCGGCCACGUGGGGACGGCGGUACGGCCCAGACGCCUACGGGAGGCAGCAGUGGGGAAGAGUGCACAAUGGGCGGAAGCGUGAUGCAGCACCGCCGCGUGCGGGAUGACGGCCGUCGGGUUGGAAACCGCUUUCGCCUGUGACGAAGCGGGAGUGACGGUAAGGGGUAAAGAAGCACCGGCUAACUACGUG
rnacentral:rRNA from 1 species